rnacentral:misc_RNA from 1 species
CUUUAAUGAUCAAUGCUAAUUUUACUAAUCAGUACAGUCAAGAUGCAGAAUUUCUUUUUUACUGUACAACACUCCCAAGCACAGGCAAAAAGCAAUGAUGCCAUGACAGAUUCUACUCCCCAAAUCAUACAAGUGUAUUCAUGAAAAGAAAAUGGAAAAAUUAAUCAAUAAAAAAAAAGCCACAAGUACCCAUGUCAGCAAUGGUUUCUCCGGCCAGUCUCAGAUACUGCCUGCGGCAGUAGCAGCAUUAUUCGCUAGCCAGGGAAGGCCAAAAUUCAAAGAAAAGUGAUUUGAGAAGUGGUCUCCGGUGACUGGAUCAGUGAGUUCCUCCAAACCCGCAAAGAAAUCGUCACUUACGGCCAUAUCUGAGAACCCAUCAAAUUCAUCUUCUUCGUCGUCUUCCAUUGUGUCUUUCUCUUCUCUGCUUUCUGUGUUUGUACUUUGGGGUAGAAGCUCGUCAUCCAAGGAAGUUGCAGGUGAUGAGCAAGUGGGCUUGGCUGGCGGCGAGGGUUUGUCAGACUCACUGGCAGUGACGGUUUGUGCUGUGGGGGUCUUCUGGCGGGUGCUACCAGCGAGUGAGUUUCGGUGGGUAGGUGCAGGGUGGUUGUGCUCGCCUGUAUAGGUGACUAUGAACAUUCCCGGCUCGGAUCUGUUCCGCUCAACCUGUUUCCGGGCCAAACACCCCUUUGAGCUGCUACAUCUGUAAUAACUCCUCGGAUAUGGAGAGCCUUUGAUGGGUUUUUGCCCGUAUUUUCGCCAUGCCCACACAUCUGAAGAGAGAGACUCUGCUGGUACGUGGCAUAUUUUCUUUAGCUGGUUCUUCCUUCUUUUAGAUCGAGGAGUGUGAGAAUUUGCAGUGGAAGUGACUGAGGCAGUAUGAGAUUGCUUGGGCUGCUUUAUCUGCGUUUGUUCUUUAUUAGAAACGGCAUGAGAAAGGAUGAGGGCAGGUUGUGGAGAAAAAAUAGUCUGAUGAGAUUUGGGGAAAAAGGGCUUGUAAAGCUCAUGCAACUCUCCAAAAGCGUUUCUUGUUUCAAAGGCACCCGGAAGAGAGAAAAGAGGGCCAACUUGUUCACUCGCAAAAGAAGAAGACGAAGAAAAAGAAAAGCAAAAAUCUGCUCUGUUGAAGGAACUGGCGCAUUUAGCAGUGGUGGUGGUAGUAGUAGUUGAAGCAGUGGUGGAGGACGAGGAGGAGGACGUGCAACUUCUAACCACAGCUUGAAGAUCCCAGUCAUCGUCCAUGGCAAGGGUAGCAAGGAGAGACAAAGCUCUGUGAAUCAGUACCUUCCUUCUGCAACUAAUGUUGGAGAGGAGACAAAAGAAGGCGCUGACUUUUGAGAGAGAGAGAGAGACAAG